UGUAUCUGAAGCCUGACGAGGAUGAGAACCUCCGGGGGCAGGAGGUUCGACCCGAGCGAAGCGAGAGAACGUUGCGUCAGCAACGGCCCGCAGGGCGAGC
rnacentral:sRNA from 1 species